rnacentral:hammerhead_ribozyme from 1 species
ACUGGCUGACGAGUCCGAAAUAGGACGAAAUGCGCACCCUGGAU